rnacentral:rRNA from 1 species
UACGAAGGGGGCUAGCGUUGCUCGGAAUUACUGGGCGUAAAGGGCGCGUAGGCGGACAGUUAAGUCAGAGGUGAAAGCCCAGGGCUCAACCUUGGAAUUGCCUUUGAUACUGACUGUCUUGAGUUCGGGAGAGGUGAGUGGAAUGCCGAGUGUAGAGGUGAAAUUCGUAGAUAUUCGGCGGAACACCAGUGGCGAAGGCGACUCACUGGACACGUAUUGACGCUGAGGUGCGAAAGCGUGGGGAGCAAACAGG